ensembl:lncRNA LINC02028 long intergenic non-protein coding RNA 2028
GCCUAUGAUCUACAGUGCCCAUUCCAACUCAGAGAAUCUUUACAUCUGGAGAUCUAUAGCAGGGCUAUCCCUAGUGACAUGCGUGAAGAAGCUUGGAAAUGGUGCUGGGUAGGAGCUGAGUGUGCAGAAUGUGGAAAGGCAUUCUAAACCAAAGGAAGAACACGAGUAAAGAUGAUGAAGCAGGGAUAAGGCUAAAAUGAAAUUUGUGAUCUGAUCCACAUACAAGCACAGUGUAGUACAGCUGGAAUAUAGAGAAGAGCUUGAAGACUUAUGAGCAACUAUCCCGGUACUCUUGGAGGCUCUGCAACCACAGUUUGAGAAACUCCGCGUUCAAAGUUAAAAACUGUCACCUGAAUAGUUAAUAACAUCAAAGAUUGUGAAAGCAAGUAUAAAUAACACAGAGAUUAAAAUAAUGAGGCAGGAUCAGAAAUUGCUGACCUCCAUAACAGCAGACAAAAUUGGAAGCAAGAGUGAUUUUGGAGGAGUCACACUUAGAUGUUUCCCUUACCUAUUUCUGUUCUGGAAAUUUAAAAAUCUUACUUCUCGUGACAGUCCUACAUGAAAAAUUAAAAAUCACAAGGAUUCAUGGAUGGAAAACUGAGACUCAGAGAAUGAUCACAUUCACAUCGUAAUAAAUCAGCAAUAGAG